rnacentral:rRNA from 1 species
AUUUGGCUUUCGACCUGGACGCUGUGUCGAGGACGCCUGGAAGCACGUGAUGACCAGCGUUGCCGCCAGCCAGGCGGUAUACGUACUUGGUCUCUUCGUGGACUUUAAAGGCGCGUUUGACAACAUUGAGUGGAGCGCCGCGACGCGCCGCUUGAUCGAUGCGGGAUGCGAGAAAGCUAGCUUGUGGAGAAGCUUCUUCUGUGGCAGGAAAGCCAGGAUGACCAGCAGAUGUGGCGAAGUCGAGGUGGAGGUCAGCGAGGGUGUCCCCAGGAAUCCAUCAGUGGGCCGUUCAUCUGGAACACCAUGAUGGAUUUCCUGCUCCAACGCCUGAAGCCCUUGUGCACAUUUAGUGCAUAUGCCGAUGACCUGCUGGUUCUAGUCGAGGGAAGAUCGAGAGCUGAACUGGAGCGUCGAGCAGCUGAGCUACUGUCCGUCGUGGGAGCUUGAUGAGCCGAGGUCGGAGUGUCGAUCUCAACCAGUAAGACGGCAAUGAUGAUGUUGAAGGAGCGUUUUGCCGUUUCCAGGCCGCCCGUGGUACGGUUUGCAGGAGCAAGCCUACCAUAUGUCGACAAGUACCGGUACCUUGGCAUCACAGUCGGUGAACGGUUGAAUUUUCAGCCGCAUAUCGCAGGAUUGCGGGAUAAACUGACUGGAGUCGUCGGAGCAUUAGGCCGCGUGCUACGGGUUGACUGGGGCCUCAGUCCCUUAGCCAGACGCACUGUAUAUGCCGGACUCAUGGUGCCUUGCGCACUGUUUGGUGCCUCGGUAUGGUAUUCCGUGGUCAGGGGAGAGUCGGGGGCCAGGAGGCGCCUCAUCUUCUGCCAAAGAGUCAUGCUCUUAGGAUGCCUACCGGUAUGCCGUACAGUGUCCACCGUGGCACUGCAGGUGCUUGCUGGAGCUCCGCCGUUGGAUUUGGUUGCCAAGCAAUUGGCAAUCAGAUUCAAGGUCAAGCGUGCCCACCCGUUGGAGGAUAGUGACUGGCUGUUCGGUCUAGAUGUGGCAAAUCUAGACCAGAGGCGGAUGAAGGCGUUGCUGGACGAGGGCAUGUGCUCCGAGUGGCAACGGAGAUGAGAUAGUGAUGAGCAUGGUCGACCGUUUAUCAUCAGUUUAUCCCGGACGCAUGGAUUCUUGCUGACGGCCCACGGGUCACUAAAUGCAUUUCUGCAUCAGAGAAGUUUGAAUGCAACGCCCGCAUGUCAAUGCGUGAAGUGCAACCACACAGGGCCGACCAGUGCCGGGCUGACGUUAGUCAAAACUGGGAGUGUCAUGGACCGUGUCACGAAGCCGAACAGAGCUUAAUAUUGUAGACAAAUCCCAAUUUGGGGUGAGUCGAACAUUGGAUGACCCAUUCCGUGUUUGUCGUCAACAAAAACUGGGAAGUGGCAAUUGCUACGAACUGCCGACCAAAGCUGUAAUUUGGUACUACGGGUAACCGGGAGCCCAUGGAACUCGUUCCGUCCUGGUUAGUUGGUGUGGCUCUUCGGGGAGUAUCGUGGUGGCUGUGGUUCGAUACCCAAUUGUGGUUCGAUACCCAACCGGGUGCUGUACCCAAAGACUAGCGGAGGUAUAGAUAGACCUCACCUCCCAAGGGGGAAUGUCAUGUUCAAUAAGCAUGCAUUCAAUUUGGUACCGAAGGGGCACUCACAUACAGUGUCUUGGAGGGGCGCAAGUCCGACGCUUUGUUUCGGCUCGCUGUAUUUCGAAUACCGUGGUACUAAACCCCUACGGGGUACACGCCACGUUAAACAAAUAUGUUUUGUUACGUCCCUAUCUACGAUCUAGCGAAACCACAGCCAAGGGAACGGGUUUGGAAUAAUUAGCGGGGAAAGAAGACCAUUUUGAUGUUGACUCUAAUCUGGCAGUGUAAGGAGACAUAAGAGGUGUAGAAUAAGUGGGAGAUAUUAGACUUCGGUUUGGUAUCGACAAUGAAAUACCACUACUCUUAUUGUUUCCUUACUUACUUGAUUAAAUGGAACGUGUAUCAUUUCCUACCCAUUAUACGGAUAUAAUUAUUAUGUCUUAUGGUAUUGGGUUUUGAUGCAAGCUUCUUGAUCAAAGAAUCACGAGUUUGUUAUAUAAUCGCAAACAAAUUCUUUAAUGAGAGAAUGCAUUUAUGUAUUAUUGAUUUAAAAAUUUGGUAUAACUCUAAUUACUCAGGUAUGAUCCAAUUCAAGGACAUUGCCAGGUAGGGAGUAUGACUGGGGCGGUACAUCUCUCAAAUAAUAACGGAGGUGUCCCAAGGCCAGCUCAGUGCGGACAGAAACCACACAUAGAGCAAAAGGGCAAAUGCUGACUUGAUCUCGGUGUUCAGUACACACAGGGACAGCAGAAGCUCGGCCUAUCGAUCCUUUUGGCUUAAAGAGUUUUUACCAAGAGGUGUCAGAAAAGUUACCAUAGGGAUAACUGGCUUGUGGCGGCCAAGCGUUCAUAGCGACGUCGCUUUUUGAUCCUUCGAUGUCGGCUCUUCCUAUCAUUGUGAAGCAAAAUUCACCAAGCGUUGGAUUGUUCACCCAUGCAAGGGAACGUGAGCUGGGUUUAGACCGUCGUGAGACAGGUUAGUUUUACAGCAUUCCCGCGUAGUACGAGAGGAACCGCAGGUGCGGACCAAUGGCACAAUACUUGUUCGAGCGAACAGUGGUAUGACGCUACGUCCGUUGGAUUAUGCCUGAACGCCUCUAAGGUCGCAUCCGUGCUGGACUGCAAUGAUAAAUAAGGAGCAAUUUGCAUUGUAUGGCUUCUUAACCAUUAAAAGUUUUUAAUUUGUUUUAUUAACGACAAUGGAUGUGAUGCCAAUGUUAUUUAUAACAUAGUAUAUUAGGAGGAUCUUCGAUCACCUGAUGCCGCGCUAGUUAUAUUUAAAACAUUAUUU